rnacentral:rRNA from 1 species
UACGGGGGGGGUAAGCGUUGUUCGGAAUUACUGGGCGUAAAGGGCUCGUAGGCGGCCAACUAAGUCGGACGUGAAAUCCCUCAGCUUAACUGGGGAACUGCGUCCGAUACUGGAUGGCUUGGAUUCGGGAGAGGGAUGCGGAAUUCCAGGUGUAGCGGUGAAAUGCGUAGAUAUCUGGAGGAACACCGGUGGCGAAGGCGGCGUUCUGGACUGCUACUGACACUGAGGAACGAAAGCCAGGGGAGCAAACGGG